rnacentral:lncRNA from 1 species
UUUAUUUCGCGCUGAUUAUUUUGACGUGUUCAUUUUAUUUUUUCGAGCAUUUUGGUGCCCGACUUUUAUUUUUUUUUAGUCUAUUUAUUUUUAUAUUGGGUCUAGAAUAAAUAAAUAGGUUAAUUAGUUUUUAUUUUAAUUUUAACUAUUUUAAUUAUUUAACUUUAUUCAGUUUUUAAUUUAAUAUUGGGUUUCAAAAUAAACUUAGGCCCAUUAUCAUUAACCUAAUUUGUUCCUAUAUAUAUUUACUAGCAUGACUGAUAGAGGGAGGCCGAAAGACAGAACAAAAAAGAGAAACUGAGAGUGGCUGAUCUAUACUAUCGUACACACAGUUUGGUAAUAGUUUAUAUAUGAUAUAUACUUUAUCUAUUUUGUUGAUAUAUUUGUUACUGUGUUUCAAAUACAUGUUCAUAUGUGUGACUGUGUUAUGUAUUCCAGAUACAUGCGGUUUGGUUA